CCUACGGGGGGCUGCAGUGGGGAAUAUUGCACAAUGGGCGAAAGCCUGAUGCAGCAACGCCGCGUGAGCGAUGAAGGCCUUCGGGUUGUAAAGCUCUGUCUUCGCUGACGAAACCUGACGGUAAGCGAGGAGGAAGCCCCGGCUAACUACGUGCCAGCAGCCGCGGUAAUACGUAGGGGGCAAGCGUUAUCCGGAAUCACUGGGUGUAAAGGGUGCGUAGGCGGUAGGGCAAGUCAGAUGUGAAAGCCCGGGGCUCAACCCCGGGAUUGCGUUUGAAACUGUCUUACUAGAGUGCAGGAGAGGAAAGCGGAAUUCCUAGUGUAGCGGUGAAAUGCGUAGAUAUUAGGAAGAACACCUGUGGCGAAGGCGGCUUUCUGGACUGUAACUGACGCUGAGGCACGAAAGCGUGGGGAGCGAACAGGAUUAGAUACCCUGGUAGUC
rnacentral:rRNA from 1 species